AUGCACAUAGAUUUGUUCUUACCUUGCAAGCAUCGUUGGAUGAAGAGAGUAGGGAUGAUCAUGGACAAACGCAAUGAGUGCUCAACGCAUCUAGGCAAACGCUGCACUUCAUGCCCCUGUUUCGCUGCCAUCCUUAUCUUGCCUCUCCUAGAUCUGGCUCCCCAAAGUGUUGUCUUGCUGUCCCUCCCUGGGUUGCCUCGAUCUUGCAAGAGAGGAGGAUGGGAGGGCGGUGGCUAG
rnacentral:rRNA from 1 species